AUGGACUGGGCGGCGCACACAACCCACAUCCGCGCCCAGCUGGAACGCGCCCAGCAGCGCUUCAAGAAGCAGGCCGACCGCAAUCGCACGGAGCGCCAAUUCCAGGUGGGCGAGCAAGUUCUGCUGAAGCUGCAGCCUUACGUCCAGCGCUCCGUCGUCAGACGACCCUGUGCCAAGCUCGCCUUCAAGUUCUACGGGCCGUACACCGUUAUCGAGAAGAUCGGCCUCUUGGUGUACAAGCUCGAUCUGCCGGCGUCCAGCCGUGUGCAUCCGGUCUUCCACGUCUCCCAACUGAAGCCGUUCACGCCGGACUACACGCCGGUGUACGCGGAGGUACCUCGAGUGCCGGAUCUGUCCGUAUCAUCUUCUGAACCCACGCAACUACUGGAGCGGCGCAUGAUGAAGCGGGGCAAUGCAGCCAUUGUGCAGGUCAAGGUGCAGUGGGGUGAUGGCUCGCCUCCGGCCACAACGUGGGAAGAUUACGAGGUUCUUAGACAGCGCUUUCCAACAGCAGCAAUUUGGACGACGCCGAGGCAAGUACUCAAGACGGAGCUCAGUCUUAAGGGGGAGAGAAUGUCACACCUGGUCACUUGGCAAGUGUGUGAAUCAUUCUGUAUCUCACCCUAA
rnacentral:rRNA from 1 species